GCGGGAGAAACAACUGGCGCGCUUUUUCUUAGCGUCGGUUUCCAUAAAGACUCGUCGUCGAUCUGCUGAGAUCAGGGACAUACUCCGUGAGCUGCUCUACGGGAGGGAACUCAGACAUGACAGCAGAAGCAAAAGAACCCCUUCACCUAAAGACUGAGCACACAUCAAACAAACGGCCGUUGUAAUGCACAAGCUAAACUUCUUCAGCGCUUCUCGUAGUCAAACCACAGCCAAACCGACCGCAGCAGGUUUUAGGUUGAGCCAUGGCUCACAUCACGCUCUCAGAAACGAAUGCUACGAAAGCUGUCACGCCACACAGAUGAUAACCUUAAAUAACCUUCUAAUAUGUAUCAUUUAUUUGCUAAUAUGAACAAACUGUGGUACCAAUAUGUACUUUUGAGGUACUAAUAUAGCUUAUUUAGGUACCAAUACCUACUUUUUGAAAGAGAUGGCUUUGUGUUUGCUUGUGUGUUUGCUUGUGUUUGUGCGUAUGUGUGUGCGUGUGUGUGUGUGUUUGAGAAUGCAAUAAGUCUGACGAUACAGUAGAUAGACUUUGACAUUUGCAUAAUUUGAUAAUUAAUAGAGAGAGAGAAAGAGAGAGAGAGACUAUAUAGACUAUAUAUAGAGACUAUCUGCAUUCUGACCAGUAUGGAGGUAUUGAACUUUCUAAAAUAGGCCAAACAUGUACAAAGCUUUCAAAAGAUUCCUAAUGUAAAUAUGUGACAGAUAUGUCAGAUAGAACCUUAUAAUUCCAUUAUAUAUGUAUAUAUAUGUAUAUAUGUAUAUGUAUAUGUAUAUAUAUGUAUAUGUAUAUAUGUAUGUAUAUAUGUAUAUGUAUAUAUAAACAUUAUAUAUAGGGAGGGUCAAACUCUGUCGGGGAGGAUUCACACACCAGCUUCAGUAGUAGUCUUAUUAGAUCAGAGUUGUCGCUGAACAACCGAAGAAAAUGUUUCACGCGCUCCUUUUUGUUCUUUUUGUGUCGUCUGAUUGGUGUGUUUGGCGAGUCGGUGUCGGAAGGAGAUUCUGUCACUCUCAGCACUUAUCUUACUGAAAUACAUAAAGACGACAAUAUUAUGUGGAAAUACGGAAAGUAUUUCAUAGCUGAAGUCUAUCCAAAAUAUGGACUCUUCUUUACACAUAAUGAUGUUCUUGACGGGAGAUUCAGAGACAGACUGAAGCUGGACAAUCAAACUGGAUCUCUGACCAUCAUGAACAUCUCAACUCAACACGCUGGACUCUAUGAAGUAAAUGGAGCAAAAGGAUUAUUUAAAUCAUUUAGUAUUUCGGUCAGUGGUGAGUAUUUGAUUGAUCAUUGACGUAUUCUUGUUUUAUGAAAGAGAAACAUCGGUUCAGUAAAAAUCAAGCUUAACCCAUGGCAUUUGUGGCAUAAAGUAAUAAAAAUAAAAAAAAG